rnacentral:rRNA from 1 species
UAAGGAAUAUUGGUCAAUGGACGCAAGUCUGAACCAGCCAUGCCGCGUGGAGGAUUAAGGCCCUCUGGGUUGUAAACUCCUUUUAUCUGGGAAGAAAUGUAGAAAUUCUUUUCUGCUUGACGGUACCAGAGGAAUAAGCACCGGCUAACUCCGUGCCAGCAGCCGCGGUAAUACGGAGGGUGCAAGCGUUAUCCGGAUUCACUGGGUUUAAAGGGUGCGUAGGCGGGCAGUUAAGUCCGUGGUGAAAUCUCUGAGCUUAACUCAGAAACUGCCAUGGAUACUAUCUGUCUUGAAUAUUGUGGAGGUGAGCGGAAUAUGUCAUGUAGCGGUGAAAUGCUUAGAUAUGACAUAGAACACCAAUUGCGAAGGCAGCUCACUACACAAUUAUUGACGCUGAGGCACGAAAGCGUGGGGAUCAAACAG